ACACCCGCUUUUGUCUUUCAGGUUGAGAGUUCUUCGGUGGUUCCUGUAAUAGGACUUGAGUUUGGCAUGGCCCCUCCUGCCUGCAGGGCCACCCCCAAAGACUCCUUACCCGGACAUGGACAUGGACAUGGACAUGGGCAUGGACAUGGGCAUGGGUCCCGCCGUAGCUGGACAACAGUAACAUUGGGCCACCCCCAAAGACUCCUUACCCGGACAUGGACAUGGACAUGGACAUGGGCAUGGACAUGGGCAUGGGUCCCGCCGUAGCUGGACAACAGUAACAUUGGGGCCUCAUCAAGGUCAAAGCGGUUACGGAGGCCAGCACGGAGGGGCCGCAAUCACUACAGCAGUAUCUGGGGCCUCGGUCAACAAGCCAUUUAUCAACUUCCCAGCUCUGUGGAGGAGUAUCGCCGCCAUCAUGCCCUAAACUGAUGCCCAGGCAACAGAACGCCCCUGUUGUCACACCAGCUGAAGCGACCCAGCAGAGCUGGGGCUUGGGGAGAGCUGCCUGGGUGCCCUAAGAGGGCUGCUUUGAGCUUUGUGAAUAAAAUUGACACACGAUCCCUUUUCA